rnacentral:lncRNA from 1 species
UUGCUCUUUUCAUCAAGGUUUAAAAAUAUUCCAAGUAAAUUAUCACAAAUAUUCUUCUCUAUAUGCAUGACAUCAAGAUUGUGCCGAAUAAGAUUAUGUUUCCAAUAAGGUAAGUCAAAAAAGAUACUUCAUUUUUUCUAUAAAUAUUUACUGGGCUGUUGUGUAGAUGCUAUCUGUGUGUCUUCCUCAUUUUCAUCCUCGAAAUAAUUGUCUGGAUCUUGAAACACCUCUGCAUCUAUAGUACUGAUACUGACUUUCUUUGGUAACCCUUCGUGCAUUGAGCUUUCAACAUCAUCCUUUCCUCUUUUUUUAGAGAACUUUGAGUGCUUACCAUAGCUGUAAUUG